GUACACUCCUACGGGAGGCAGCAGUGGGGAAUAUUGGACAAUGGGCGCAAGCCUGAUCCAGCCAUGCCGCGUGAGUGAUGAAGGCCCUAGGGUUGUAAAGCUCUUUCACCGGUGAAGAUAAUGACGGUAACCGGAGAAGAAGCCCCGGCUAACUUCGUGCCAGCAGCCGCGGUAAUACGAAGGGGGCUAGCGUUGUUCGGAUUUACUGGGCGUAAAGCGCACGUAGGCGGACUAUUAAGUCAGGGGUGAAAUCCCGGGGCUCAACCCCGGAACUGCCUUUGAUACUGGUAGUCUUGAGUUCGAGAGAGGUGAGUGGAAUUCCGAGUGUAGAGGUGAAAUUCGUAGAUAUUCGGAGGAACACCAGUGGCGAAGGCGGCUCACUGGCUCGAUACUGACGCUGAGGUGCGAAAGCGUGGGGAGCAAACAGGAUUAGAAACCCGUGUAGUCC
rnacentral:rRNA from 1 species